rnacentral:rRNA from 1 species
CCUACGGGUGGCGCCAGUGAGGAAUAUUGCGCAAUGGACGAAAGUCUGACGCAGCCAUGCCGCGUGCAGGAUGAAUGCCCUAUGGGUUGUAAACUGCUUUUAUAUACCAAGAAACCUUCGGACGUGUCCGAGGCUGACGGUAGUAUAUGAAUAAGGACCGGCUAACUCCGUGCCAGCAGCCGCGGUAAUACGGAGGGUCCAAGCGUUAUCCGGAUUUAUUGGGUUUAAAGGGUUCGUAGGCGGGGUAUUAAGUCAGUGGUGAAAGCCCACAGCUCAACUGUGGAACUGCCAUUGAUACUGGUACUCUUGAGUAUAGUAGAAGUUAGCGGAAUGUGUCAUGUAGCGGUGAAAUGCUUAGAUAUGACCCAGAACACCGAUUGCGAAAGCAGCUAACUAUGUUAUUACUGACGCUGGGGAACGAAAGCGUGGGGAGCGAACAGGAUUAGAUACCCUAGUAGUC